GCCGUGGCUCAGGGGUGCAGCAUCUUCCUGGCCUGCGGAAGGUCCCUGGUUCAAUCCCCGGCAUCUCCU
rnacentral:tRNA from 1 species